GUUAGACGCUCGUAGUCGGAUUUCGGGGCGGUCCGACCGGUCUGCCGAUGGGUACGCACUGGUCGGAGCGUCCUUUUUGCCGGAGACCGUGCCUACUCUUAACUGAGCGGGGGCGGGAGACGGCACUUUUACUUUGAAAAAAUCAGAGUGUUUCAAGCAGGCAGCUCGCUCUUGCAUGGAUUAGCAUGGGAUAAUGAAAUAGGACUUUGGUGCUAUUUUGUUGGUCUCGAACACCGAAGUAAUGAUGAGAAGGGACAGUCAGGGGCACUCGUAUUCCGCCGAGAGAGGUGAAAUUCUCAGACCAGCGGAAGACGAACCACUGCGAAAGCAUUUGCCAGGGAUGUUUUCACUGAUCAAGAACGAAAGUUAGGGGAUCGAAGACGAUCAGAUACCGUCGUAGUCUUAACCAUAAACCAUGCCGACUAGGGAUUGGAGGAUGUUCACUGAUUGACUCCUUCAGCACCUUACGGGAAACUAAAGUCUUUGGGUUCCGGGGGGAGUAUGGUCGCAAGGCUGAAACUUAAAGGAAUUGACGGAAGGGCACCACCAGGUGUGGAGCCUGCGGCUUAAUUUGACUCAACACGGGGAAACUUACCAGGUCCAGACAUUUUGAGGAUUGACAGAUUGAGAGCUCUUUCAUGAUUAGAUGGGUGGUGGUGCAUGGCCGUUCUUAGUUGGUGGAGUGAUUUGUCUGGUUAAUUCCGUUAACGAACGAGACCUUAGCCUGCUAAAUAGUGACGCGAACUCUUUGUUCGCGGGCCACUUCU
rnacentral:rRNA from 1 species